UGCCAGUGUAGAUAGUGAUGAUAUAGCUGUCUGUUAUCUUCUUAGAUAAGGUCAGUGCCAGUACUGGCACUGACCUUAUCUAAGAAGAUAACAGACAGCUAUAUCAUCACUAUCUACN
rnacentral:miRNA from 1 species